ACGAUUCCCACGCUACACUUUAUUGAACAUUCAAGAAUCGACUCGGAAUUCACAAAUCUCCUGCAUCAUCACAUAGUAAUAAACCAAAUACUUUUCAAUCUCCCAAACCCAAAAUAACUAUACACUCUAUUGAUUUUCCCUCUCUUCUUCCAAUUUCGCGUUUUUGUACUGGAUUUCUUUUUCUGCCUAGGGUUUCUCGCAAUCAAUCAAAUUCAAAUUUCCGAUCACUAAAAACAGUAAAUGGAUUGGAGUAAUGUAACAGCGGAGGAUCUGGUCGAGGCGCUGCGAGAAGUGGACUGGUCGUCUCCGCCGCGUCCUCUCUCGGAAUUCUUCUCUCGAUUCACUGUGCCCCGUUCGUCCGCCAAAUGGAACAGUCGCCUCAAGUGCAACCUCUAUUACUACCGGACCAAUUACUUCAUAAUGAUUGUUUUCAUUCUUGGGAUGGGAUUUCUUAGGAGGCCACUUGCUAUUCUUGCUGCAUUAAUGACGGCUUUGAGUAUUGCAUUUCUAAAUGAUAGUUUUGCAGGUACUUUCAAUGAAAAGGUCACAAGAACUGUUAGGCAGUUUUCUCCCCAUUUAGCUGCUAAAAUGAGACCUCCCCUUACGCCUGUUAUUCGGGGGCGCCCAUCUGCAAAACGAGCAAUACAUGUAUGUGGACAGCCUCGAUGGGUUUUUGUCUUGGUAUUUUCUGCAGUGAGUUUCAUCCUCUGGUUUGUUUCUUGUGGCCUUCUCACGGUCUUAUGGGCAUUUGCUCUUGGCCUUCUUGCCACCCUAAUUCAUGCAAGCUUUAGAACACCAAAUCUGAAAGCUCGUCUGAACACAUUCCGUGAAGAAUUCCGUGCUGUUUGGCGCAAUUAUAGUGAGCUGUAGCUCUUGUGUAGCAGAGUACAUGUCAGUUACUUUGCAUCUCUGCCUUACUGUUGGGUCUGUGUAAUGCUGCAUUAUCUUCUUCAUGACAGCUGCUCAAAUUUCAAGAAAAGGAGGCUGCUGAUAUCUUCAGUUCAGUAGGAUGUUGUAAAUUUGUUGAAGUGCUUGCGUAGCUAUAGUUAUAGUUCGAUUUUCAGAAAUAUACAGGAAUAUAUUUCUCACAAUGAUGUGAAAAAAUUCUACUGUUAGUGUCCGUGAGGAGACCUUAUUGCCUCUUUAGAAGACAGUGGCUUGCACUAUAUGUAAAUUUAAUGAGGCUCUCGUUCUGCAUGAGUUAGUUGGACAGGAUAAACUGAGCAUAUUGUUGAACCCCUCCCCCUCACUUUAUUGGAUGAAUUACAACGAUAUUUCUUGAUAUUUGUCAUAAUUA